rnacentral:lncRNA from 13 species
GAUGCUUUUCUCCCCUACACCCUUGGGAGGGUUGUUCCACUGAGAACCGAGGGUGGGGAUUUUUAGCGAGAGGGCCUAUAUACAGUAGUUGUUCCAUUACACUGAAACUGAACAUGUGCAGCCAGAGUAUCAGCUUUAUCUCAAUAUUCAUUCAAAAUUAGGUUUCUAAACUUUGGUUCUCAGAGUACAGUGAUCCUCAAGGGUUCAGUAGUCCUUAUGGUUAUUAUAAUAUAAAACUUGGAGUCAACUGUUUCAAUAAACUGUCUGCACUUUUACUGCCUGUAAUUGACAAUAAGUAGGCUAUGAAACACUUAUUCUUUUAAUUCUUCCAGCAGUUAUUUUCAUGAGCCCGGCAUGAUCCAAAUGGGGGAAAAGUUGUUUGAAAAUGUGACUGAAGCUUUUUGUUUUUCAGGGGCAGGGGCUUAAGGUUUUUCUUCUAAACUGGAUCGAGAGAAAAUCUCAAUAAAAAACUCACGACACAGCUUGAUCAGGUUCCAUUCGGGUCAGGGCAGUGGAAUGAGAGAGCAGUGGAGCAGAGACAGCAGACCAGGCCAGACCACGUCAUCUCUUCUCAAAUCCUCAAAGGUUGUGGUAGGCCCAGGAAUGCAGCAAUGACAAGAGAAUAUUUAUGGCAGUCGAGAUUGUGACCACUAACUGAAAAGACAAACUAUCUCUUGGAAGUUUCUUGGAAAAUGCCAUUGUAAUGUUGAUGCACUGUUUAUAAGUGUUGUAAUUGCAACAUAUCCACUUGUAGAACAGAAAUAUGUAACCUCCCACCCCCUUUAGUUUGUUAUCGUAGAAACAUAAGAGUGCUGCAACUCUCCACUUUUCUUAGGAAACAGGAUAAUAGCAAUUACAAUUAAAAGCUCUGCUCUCUAGUAAUACUAAUAUUAUUAGGUCUAAUUAAGUUUCUCUGUAGAGGCAUCUGCCUAAUAUGUUUAACCUGAUUAAUAACUUGUUGUACUGCGUUAUAUGUGUUACAUUUAUUCAGAUAUUCUAUUUGUUAUGCAUGUCCUUGUAACCCUUUUGAAAAACAAUUAAUGACUAACUCCUUCUGAGUGAAGAAGUAUUUGUUGCAAUUGAAAAAGUUUGAUGUAAUGGAAAAUAUAAAAAUAAGUUAACAGGAUCAUGUCUCCUUGAAUGUGAAAACGCACAGUUCACAAUCAAAGAAAGACGUGUAUCUACAUCUACAAUUGCUUUAUACUAUACCAUGUACACUAUCCUAUAGCAUCUAAUUGCUUUCCAAGUAAAAAUCACCUUGAAUGCAUGAUGAGUUGUGUUGUCAUGUGCUGCUGCCUUGCUAUGUCCUUGUCUUAGGUCUCUCUUUGUGUAGUGUUGUCUCUUUGUCGUGAUGUGUGUUUUGUCCUAUAAAUACAUAUACAUUAUUUUUUUUCGUAAUUCUUUUUUAUUUUUUUAUAAUUUAUAUAGGUAUUUUGCUUUUUGGUAGGACGUCAUUGUAAACAAUAAUUAGUUCUUAACUGACUUGCCUAGUUAAAUAAAGGUUAAAUAAAAUAAAAUACACAUUACCUGUGAUUAUGUUGUUCCUGAAGAAGUGU